UACGUAGGGGGCAAGCGUUUGUCCGGAUUUAUUGGGCGUAAAGAGCGUGUAGGCGGCCAGGUAGGUCUGCUGUGAAAACUCGAGGCUUAACCUCGAGCUGUCGGCGGAAACCAUCUGGCUAGAGUCCGGAAGAGGAGAAUGGAAUUCCCGGUGUAGCGGUGAAAUGCGCAGAUAUCGGGAAGAACACCCGUGGCGAAGGCGGGUUCUCUGGGACGGUACUGACGCUGAGACGCGAAAAGCGUGGGGGAGCGAGCAGG
rnacentral:rRNA from 1 species